GAUUGCAGUCUGCAACUCGACUGCAUGAAGCCGGAAUCGCUAGUAAUCGCGGAUCAGAAUGCCGCGGUGAAUACGUUCCCGGGCCUUGUACACACCGCCCGUCACACCAUGGGAGUUUGUAACGCCCAAAGUCGGUGGCCUAACCUUUAUGGAGGGAGCCGCCUAAGGCGGGACAGAUGACUGGGGUGAAGUCGUAACAAGGUACC
rnacentral:rRNA from 1 species